ACAAUUACAUAACUGUAUAUUUACUUUCUCACACCAAACGCCUGCUAGAAUGUGUGAUAUAAUGCACUGUAUGGGAUUUAAAUACAGUACAGGCCACACUACCCUGCCCUGUCUCCCUCACUGGGCUGUCCUCUGAACUGUGCAAAUUCAGGCACAAUGGGACUUAAUUACAGGGCAGCAGUGUUUCAGAGAGAUAGAGGGAGCCCUGUUUCCCCCUUUCAUAUACUGCACAAUGCCAUCUUCCCUAGUGUAGUGUGUGGUGAGGAAAGAGGCUGAACCGGAGGAAGCACAAGGUAAAGAGAGAGAGAGCGUUCCACACUGCGAAAGCAAUACCUAUACAGCAUAGCUACAAUGCCACCUGUAGGGGUUCUUAAGUAUUACUGAUUCAGAUGUACGCUUGAAGUUAGACAAAGUCAUGGAGGAUAAUACAGAACAGGGGUGUGAUAGUAACGACCUGUGAAUCUGAAAUAUCUGAAAUCUUUAGUGAAAGCUUUGAUGUGACAUCUAUGUCUGAUGUAAUCACAGGCGGUAAAGCACUUUCAAUGAGCGAGAGGAAGGAAUGAAUGAGAAAAGGGUUGGACAAAGGGGUGGGAGGAUGCUUUUGUUAGGGUUUUAUGGCCAGAUUGUCUCCUGCUCUGGGAAAGUGAAAACCCAACCGUAGGUUAGGUUACCUGGGGGAGAAAAAGACCCAGGAAGAGGGUUAGAGGAAAGGUUAGGUGACUGUCAGGGACAGCAGAAAUAUUCAAGCGAGCAGAGAGAAAGAAACAGAACCCAAAGUCAGUGAACACUAGCAGGUGUUCUCGGGAUCUAAAAGCUACCUCUAUCAUACCUUGUCUUUCUAGAAUGAUGCAGUAGCGCCCUCUAGUGCUGUACAGGACAACAGUUACUUUCAAUUUCUCUGUCCAACUCAACUCAAUCCAAACCUCUCAAAACACAACUAUCAGGUUUCCAUGUUAAAUGUUAAGCUACAACAUCCAUUCCAUUUCGCCUUUACCAUUGAUUUGAAAUAGAAUAGUAUAGUUAUACUAGCCAUAAAUUACAUCAAGGCAGUCUAAAAUAUGCAUUUUGCUGUUAUCCUUUUUGGAUCCUAAAAUGAAUGCCUGUAAGUGUCAUGGAGAAUUGUGUUGGUUUAGAAUAUAUUGAAAAAUAAAUAUGCUGGGUUGUAAUGUGCGUAUUAAGAUGCAAUUUGCAAAUUUUUGUAACCGUUCACAUAUGUAUUACAUUUGUGUGUUAUACAGGAGGCUGUAUGAAUGUGCAGGUUAUUUUCAUUUAUAGUUUGACUGCACUUUGCUCACUGUUAGGGAUGGACGGAGAUGGGGACAAAGUUCACAGAAAGCGCAUGGGGAGGAGGGGGGAGGGAAAAAAUACCUUUUAAAGCAUAACAGCAGGUGGAGGGCUAAAACCAGACAGCUCAGCUCAGAACGGAACGAGACGAGGAGAAAAAUCAAACGGGGGGAAAAUGAAAGCAAACUUUCUCUAUUCCUAAACUGAAGGACAGAAAUGCAAUGAUUCCAGAAGCCAAUUGCUCUGUUUUUUGUGUAAGCGCAUGACUGCAGUGUGUCUGUGUUGGUGUGUGAGUGUGUGUUUGUGACCUGUGGCCUGCGUAGUCUGUGUGCUGUGUUAGUGAGGUAAAGAUUAGGCAACAGCGUAAUGGAGGGAGAGGAGAGGAAAGGAGAAGCAGGGCCCGGCCCUGGGCGCCUGUCUGCUCUCCAGGAGCAGCUGAUCUGGGCUCUGCUGGGCUCUGGACUGUCCCGGGAGGUCCUGGUCCAUGCCCUGGGAGAACUGGAGCGAGAGAGGGUCACCCCUGGAGCAGAGAAGGGGGACAGGGGGGAUGGCGAGAGUUCGGAGGAGGGAGAAAUGGAUUUUCCACCCCCCAUAUUCCAGGAGCUGGAGGCCCUAGCCCCAGAGGAGGCAGCCAGGCAGAGGGCUCUGGUCGACCAACUGCUUCAGGAGGAUCCAUGGCGCGUGGCAAAACUGGUGAAGAGCUACAUGCAGCAGCAUAACCUCCCCCAGAGAGAGGUGGUCGAGUCCACAGGCCUCAACCAGUCCCAUCUCUCCCAGCACCUCAACAAAGGCACGCCCAUGAAGAACCAGAAACGGGCUGCUUUGUACAGCUGGUACGUCAGGAAGCAGGGCGAGAUUAGCCAGCAGUUUACUAAUGCCAGGCAUGCCCUUGGGUCUGGAGAGGAUCAGGGAGAGGAUGUGAGGAAGGGACGUAGGAACAGGUUCAAAUGGGGACCCGCCUCCCAGCAAAUCCUCUUCCACGCCUAUGAACGACAGAGGAACCCAAGCAAAGAGGAGAGAGAGGGAUUAGUGGAGGAGUGUAACAGGGCUGAGUGUCUCCAGAGGGGUGUGUCUCCGUCCCAGCUGGCUGGCCUGGGCUCUAACCUGGUGACAGAGGUACGAGUGUACAACUGGUUCGCUAACCGCCGCAAGGAGGAGGCCUUCCGCCAUAAACUGGCUCUUGAUAUGCCUUACAACAGCCAAUCAGCAAGCUCCACCAACCACACGCUCUCACACAGCCCUGAGCAAGGCAUGAAGUAUAGCCAGCAAAUCACAUGUGACAAUCUGGGGUCAUCGAGGGGUCACAAUGGAGACAGAGGCUUGGGGGGCCGCCUGGCCAGCCCCAUUCAACUGGAGCCCAGCCACACACUCCUGGAAACACACCAUCACAAACCAGUAUCAGGUGGUGGCCCCUUGCCCCCAGUCAGCACCCUGACAUCACUGCACAGUCUGUCUGCCUCGCCUGCUCCCCACCAUGGACUCAUCAUGACCUCCCUGCCCAGCGUCAUGAGUCUGGGAGAGUCCUCUCUCCUCAUAGGUCAAACCGUACCUGUCAUCAACAACGUGGGAGGCGGGUUCACCACCCUUCAGCCAAUCUCUUUCCAGCAGCAGCUUCAUUCCACUUCCCAGCAGCAACUCACACAGCAGUUCCAGAGUCAUAUGACCCACCACAGUCCUUUCAUGGCAACCAUGGCACAGCUUCCAUGUCACAUGUACAGCAAGUCUGAUAUGUCCCACUACCCUCCGUCCAGCCUACUGUCCCAAGCAAUGGUCAUCACUGACAGCAGCAGCCAUGGAACACUGACCAGUCUAACCACAGUCAGGCAGAUUCUGACCACAGACCCUGAGGAGCAGACAGAUCAACCCAUCCAGGAGGACUCCCUACACCUGCAGUCCCCUUCACCUGUGCCAGGACAAUGACCCAAAACACACCGCCAGGCUGUAUAAGGUCUAUUUUACCAAGAAGAAGGAGUGCUGCAUCAGAUGACCUGGCCUCCAAACAAUCACCCGACCUCAACGCCAUUGAGAUGAUUUGGACCGCAGAGUGAAGGAAAAGCAGCCAACAAGUGAUCAGCAUAUGUGGGAACUCCUUCAAGACUGUUGGAAAAGCAUUCCAGUUUCCUCUGGGAAUUUACAGCUGUAUCCUCCAUCUCAGUCUAGUGAAACUCAUCCACCUCACCGCCUCUCCUCUUCGCCAGCAG